rnacentral:snoRNA from 1 species
AGGGCAGUGCUGAUUGGCGCAGGGGUGACGGAGCACAGAUGCAUGCUGGGAAGUGUGGUUUUCUGCAGAACUCUACUGUUCUACCUCGUCCU